rnacentral:ncRNA from 20 species
AGGUCCGGAGAUAGCGAUUACCUAUUUCCGGAGGAGAGAGGGUGGUCGGGCCGCCAUCC